rnacentral:tRNA from 1 species
GCCUGGGUGGCUCAGUAGGUUAAGCGUCUGACUUCGGCUCAGGUUAUGAUCUCGCGGUCCGUGAGUUCGAGCCCCGCGUCGGGCU